rnacentral:misc_RNA from 1 species
AAGUCGUAACAAGGUUUCCGUAGGUGAACCCGCUGGCAGGAAUCGAUUACAUUUGAUGAGUAUGUAGUCCAAGAAAGGCCCUUAAUUUUAAGGUCACCCCAAAACGCUUUGAAAAUAUUUAGCGGAAUGGGCAGUAAUACAAUCGGCAUGACCGUUUGAAUCCAAGGGCAGCUAUCCACCCGUGUAUAUAUACUCUGUUGCUUUCCGGGCGUCAUACCCCGGAGAGAACCCAACUCUUGAAUUUUAUGGAACGUCUGAGUACUAUAUAAUAGUUAAAA